rnacentral:rRNA from 1 species
AUUGAACGCUGGCGGCAUGCUUUACACAUGCAAGUCGAACGGUAACAGGGUGCUUGCACCGCUGACGAGUGGCGAACGGGUGAGUAAUGCGUCGGAACGUGCCGAGUAGUGGGGGAUAACGCAGCGAAAGUUGUGCUAAUACCGCAUACGUACUGAGGUAGAAAGUGGGGGACCUUCGGGCCUCACGCUAUUCGAGCGGCCGACGUCUGAUUAGCUAGUAGGUGAGGUAAAGGCUCACCUAGGCGACGAUCAGUAGCGGGUCUGAGAGGAUGAGCCGCAACACUGGGACUGAGACACGGCCCAGACUCCUACGGGAGGAAGCAGUGGGGAAUUUUGGACAAUGGGCGAAAGCCUGAUCCAGCCAUGCCGCGUGUCUGAAGAAGGCCUUCGGGUUGUAAAGGACUUUUGUCAGGGAGGAAAUCCCUAGUGCUAAUAACACUGGGGGAUGACAGUACCUGAAGAAUAAGCACCGGCUAACUACGUGCCAGCCGCCGCCGUAACAC